UGGGGAAUAUUGCACAAUGGGCGCAAGCCUGAUGCAGCAACGCCGCGUGAGGGAUGACGGCCUUCGGGUUGUAAAACCUCUUUUAGUAGGGAAGAAGCGAAAGUGACGGUACCUGCAGAAAAAGCACCGGCUAACUACGUGCCAGCAGCCGCGGUAAUACGUAGGGUGCGAGCGUUGUCCGGAAUUAUUGGGCGUAAAGAGCUCGUAGGCGGUCUGUCGCGUCUGCUGUGAAAAUCCCGAGGCUCAACCUCGGGCCUGCAGUGGGUACGGGCAGACUAGAGUGCGGUAGGGGAGAAUGGAAUUCCUGGUGUAGCGGUGGAAUGCGCAGAUAUCAGGAGGAACACCGAUGGCGAAGGCAGUUCUCUGGGCCGUAACUGACGCUGAGGAGCGAAAGCGUGGGGAGCGAACAGGAUUAGAUACCCUGGUAGUCCACGCCGUAAACGUUGGGCGCUAGAUGUGGGGCACCA
rnacentral:rRNA from 1 species